UUAAACCGUUAAUUUUACCAAACACUUCAAUUAGCUUAUUAGCUGGUAUAAACUAUCAGCCAUUAACUAUAACCUAUAAACUAGCUUAUCAGCUAACUGCUAUUUUUACCAAACGGUGUCUUAACCUAUUUGGUCGUUAAAAAAUUGAAAAUUGUCCUUUUUUUUACUUAGUUUCACGGGUUUUUUUUUUUGAACGGCUUUAAUUUUAUUAAUAAGCACAACACCUAAAUACAAGUAGUAUUUGGUGAGACAAAGUAACAAACUUACAAAAAAUAGGCACAAAAAGUGCACAGUAGGCGGCCAAGCACAUAAAGCUUAACACACCAAAUGAAAACGCAACCAACAACACUGCAGUGGUAAAGAAACAGCAGAAGCAGCAUAGACAACGAACAACACAACCCAAUAAGGCACACAAAAAACACAGCUCAUACUCAUCCAUGAAAACAAUCAAUUGGGUUCCAAUUCCACUCAUAAAUGAGGCACGGGGACUUCGCCACUCUACUGAUGAACCACUUCCAAGAUAGAGUUUUAAUUUGGUCCACCAAAUCUUCAAACACCACUUCCUUAGUUUCACGGUCUGAUGCUACUUUUAUUGACAUAAUGAAAUUCUGGUCAAAUUGAUAUUUUUUUAUUUUUAAUCUUGAUCAAGUCAAGUUAUUAUAUUAAAAGUUUCAAGGAUUAAUUUAAGAGUUUUAACUAUAUCGAACAACAUCAGCAAAAAAAUUUAGUCACUAAAUCGGACACUAACAAAAUAUGGAGACCAAAUUAGAGAUUAGUGACGAAAAAUCAGUCGCUAAAUUUGUUGUUAACAAAUUUUAUAAUUAUCUAAUCUAAGAUUUUAUAUAUUUUAUAAUUAUCUAAGAUUUUAUUUUAUUUUUUCUUAAAAAAAAAUUAUUUUAUUUAUUUUAUUUAACAGAUUUUUGUCGUUAAAACCUUUUUUGAAAAAGAAAUUGUUAUAUUUUUUCGUUCUCUCACAUAUCCCAAGGGCCAACCCUCAUACGUUCACUCGUUCUUUUUACAAAUCGAUUCACUCUUUCUCUUCUCUUCUAUUUUUUUGCUCCAGUUGAACAAGGGUUUCCCCCAAACCUUACGCUCAAACCCUAAAACCCGCAGAGCCACCGUGAACUGUGAGCAAUUACAUCAACCGAAAUCACUACCGUCAUACCAUUUGAUCACACUGAUUGUUCUCCAUGCGACACCCACCGUAAAGACAACGGAUCUCUAAUCAGCGACGAUGUUCUUGUUCUGUCAGCGCUCUUCACCGUCGCAGUCGUAUAGCUGAUUCUAAUUAUCUGGUUGGUGUGACUGGAAAUCUCAGCCACAAUCAAAUAGUAGGUUGCUACAAAUUAAGAAAGAGGUUCUUCAAUUUAAGGCUUUACAAUCAAAUAGUAUUUGCUCCAGGUAUG